rnacentral:tRNA from 1 species
GGGCCCGGACUUCUUGCUGGAAGGCCCCGACUUAUAAUCGGGAGUGUGGGGUUGGAUUCCCCCCGGGUCCA